GUGUCAGCAGCCGCGGUAAUACAGAGGUGGCGAGCGUUGUUCGGAUUUACUGGGCGUAAAGGGCGCGUAGGCGGCGAUGUGUGUCGGGUGUGAAAUCCCAGGGCCCAACCCUGGAAGUGCGCCCGAAACUGCAUCGCUUGAGUGCGGGAGGGGAGAUCGGAAUGCAGGGUGUAGCGGUGAAAUGCGUUGAUAUCCUGCAGAACACCGGUGGCGAAGGCGGAUCUCUGGAACGCAACUGACGCUGAGGCGCGAAAGUCGGGGGAGCAAACAGGAUUAGAAACCCCAGUAGUCC
rnacentral:rRNA from 1 species